rnacentral:rRNA from 1 species
UACGUAGGGUGCGAGCGUUGUCCGGAAUUACUGGGCGUAAAGAGCUCGUAGGUGGUUUGUCGCGUUGUUCGUGAAAACUCACAGCUUAACUGUGGGCGUGCGGGCGAUACGGGCAGACUGGAGUACUGCAGGGGAGACUGGAAUUCCUGGUGUAGCAGUGAAAUGCGUAGAGAUCAUGAGGAAGACCAGUGGCGAAGGCGGGUCUCUGGACAGUUCCUGACACUGAGGCACGAAGGCCAGGGGAGCAAACGGG